CACUCCUACGGGAGGCAGCAGUGGGGAAUAUUGGACAAUGGGCGCAAGCCUGAUCCAGCCAUGCCGCGUGAGUGAUGAAGGCCCUAGGGUUGUAAAGCUCUUUCACCGGUGAAGAUAAUGACGGUAACCGGAGAAGAAGCCCCGGCUAACUUCGUGCCAGCAGCCGCGGUAAUACGAAGGGGGCUAGCGUUGUUCGGAUUUACUGGGCGUAAAGCGCACGUAGGCGGACUAUUAAGUCAGGGGUGAAAUCCCGGGGCCCAACCCCGGAACUGCCUUUGAUACUGGUAGUCUUGAGUUCGAGAGAGGUGAGUGGAAUUCCGAGUGUAGAGGUGAAAUUCGUAGAUAUUCGGAGGAACACCAGCGGCGAAGGCGGCUCACUGGCUCGAUACUGACGCUGAGGUGCGAAAGCGUGGGGAGCAAACAGGAUUAGAUACCCCUGUAGUCC
rnacentral:rRNA from 1 species